rnacentral:rRNA from 1 species
GAUUUCUGGCUUGAAACAUUUUGCCGGCCACGGUUUCGUGUGUUAGUGCUUGAUGUCCUGGCCAUCCUUCCAAUCGCUAUGCACUUUUCUUCAUUGAUUAGUGUGUGGUAUUGGAUCUUUUACUUUGAAAAAAUUAGAGUGUUUCAAGCAGGCUUUAUGCUAUGAAUACAUUAGCAUGGAAUAAUGAUUUAGGACUUCGGUUCUAUUUUGUUGGUUUCUAGGACUGAAGUAAUGAUUGAUAGGGAUAGUUGGGGGUGCUAGUAUUCAGCGGCCAGAGGUGAAAUUCUCGGAUUCGCUGAAGACUAACUUAUGCGAGAGCAUU